GAGGGUUGAGCACGGCCUGUACUCCGAACGUGCUGAAUUAUUAAGAAGCUGCCCCCAGAAGUGCCAUUUUGGCCCGGUUGCCGUAGCCACCACGGCUUCCACCAUAGACCAUGGUGGCUCUGCACCGGCUUGGGCAAGGCCUGAAAGAGGUUAACACAACAGAAUGCGCAGGUUCAGCACGGCCUAGACUCCGCCUAUGCUGACCAGUCCAGGCUUGACCACGACAGUGCUGAAGGGACUAUAUAGGCAAAAUCGAUUUAGUGAAUGAGGGUUCGAUUUUCUGACCUGAUUUCCAAUAUACACACUCAAUUCAUUUGUUUCUAAAC
rnacentral:lncRNA from 1 species